CUAAUUAAACAAUUGGGAUUCUGAGCACUUCUUUGCUCAGAGAAAUGAUUAAUAAUUUCAAAAUUUCAAAAUGUCAAGCUGAUUAUAUAAACCAAAUCACUGAAAUUUUGCAUUUAACUUGGGUCUUGUCUUUGGUCAACAGAAAUAAUGUGAUACCAUGGAUAUACUGUGGAUUUAUUGAAAUGAAGAGCAGUUGCUUCUCUGAUCACCCACAGAUCACAUUUAAAAUGAUUAAUCAUGCAUUACAACAGAUUGGUUAAUUUGGAAAAUUUUAUUAUAUGAGUUUCUAUAUCAUUAUUUUUAUUAUUAUUGCUUUAUUAUAAUUUAUCUCAGAUACAUGAAGUCACUUGGUGCUCUGGUAGCUUUCAUGCGCGUCCGUGUUAAGAGACCACCAAACGGGCUUUGUGUGAGCAAUAAAGCUGUUUAUUUCACCUGGGUGCAGGUGGGCUGAGUCCGAAAAGAGAGUCAGCGAAGGGAGAUAGGGGUGGGGCCGUUUUAUAGGAUUUGGGUAGGUAAAGGAAAAUUACAGUCAAAGGGGGUUUGUUCUCUGGCGGGUAGGAGUGGGGGUCGCAAGGUGCUCAGUGGGGGUGCUUUUUGAGCCAGGAUGAGCCAGGAAAAGGACUUUCACAAGGUAAUGUCAUCACUUAAGGCAAGGACCGGCCAUUUACACUUCUUUUGUGGUGGAAUGUCAUCAGUUAAGGUGGGGCAGGGCAUAUUCACUUCUUUUGUGAUUCUUCAGUUACUUCAGGCCAUCUGGGCGUAUACGUGCAAGUCACAGGGGAUGCGAUGGCUUGGCUUGGGCUCGGAGGCCUGACAUUCCUGCCUUCUUAUAUUAAUAAGAAAAAUAAAACAAAAUAGUGUUGAAGUGUUGGGGCGGCGAAAAUUUUUGAGGGUGGUAUGGAGAGAGAAUGGGCGAUGUUUCUCAGGGCUGCUUCAAGUGGGAUUAGGGGCAGCGUGGGAACCUAGAGAGGGAGAGAUUAAGUUGAAGGGAGGUCUUGUGUAAGCGGUGAUAUUGUGGGGAUGUUAGAAGAAACAUUUGUCAUAUAGAAUGAUUGGUCAUGGCCUGGAUACGGUUUUGGAUGAAUUGAGAAACCAAAUAGAAUAAAAGAAGGAGAAAAACAGGUAUAAAAGGUCUAAGAAUUGGGAUGACUCAGGAUAUCUGAUUAGAGAGUGCCUAAGGAGAUUCAGUAUAGUCCUGCCAGCAAAGAUUAUUUAUUUACUUCAAGAGUUAAGAGUGGCAGUUUGGGGAUAGCACCAGGAGAUAUCAGCUGUGAUGGCUUGGAAAAACAGUGUAAACCGGCAGUGUAAACAAGAGCAGGGCAUGUAUGAGUAGUUGAGAACGGUGAAUAUGAGUAUGACUAGACAGAAGAUAGUGGGGAUGACAAGUUUUUUGGGGCACAGUCUAAGUUGGUCUGGUGUCUGGAAUGAGACUGGGGCCUAAUAAAAAGGAGCGUCUAUACAGGAGCUUAAAUGGGCUGUACCCUGUAGCAUUCUGAGGACAGGCCUGAAUUCUGAGAAGGGAAGGUGGUAAAAGUAUUGUCCAGUCCUUUUUAAGUUGGUGGCUGAGCUUGGUGAGGUGUGUUUUUAAAAGACCUUUAGUCCAUUCUACUUUUCUUGAAGAUGGAGGAUCGUAAGGGAUAUAAAGGUUUCACUGAAUACUAAGAGCCCGAAAAACUGCUUGGCUGAUUUGACUAAUAAAGGCUCAUCUGUUAUCAGACUGUAUUGAGGUGGGAAGGCUAAACUGAGGAAUUAUGUCUGACAGAAUGGAAGAAAUGACUGCGGUGGCCUUCUCAGACCCUGUAGGAAAGGCCUGUACCUAUCCAGUGAAAGUAUCUACCUAGACUAAGAGGUAUUUUAGUUUUCUGACUCGGGGCAUGUUGAGUAAAGCUAAUUUGCCAGUCCUGGGUGGGGCAAAUCCUCGAGCUUGAUGUGUAGGGAAGGGAGGGGGCCUGAAUAAUCCCUGAGGAGUAGUAGAAUAGCAGAUGGAACACUGAGAAGUUAUUUCCUUGAGGAUAGAUUUCCACGAUGGAAAGGAAAUGAGAGGUUCUAAGAGACAGGCUAGUGGCUUGUACUAUAGCAUAACCUGCCUUUGCUGGUAUGUGGCGAUUAGGCCUGGUGGAACCACCAUCAAUAAAUCAAGCGUGAUCAGGUGAGGAACAGGAAAGAAGGAAAUAUAGGGAAAUGGGGUGAAUAUCAGGUGGAUCAGAGAGAUACAGUCAUGGGGGUCAGGUGUGGUAUCAGGAAUAAUGUGGGAGGCCGGAUUGAAGUCUGGGCCAGGAACAACGGUAAUUGUGGGACUUAACAAAGAGUGAGUACAGCUGAAGGAGCCGGGGAGCAGCAGGUAUAUGCGUCAGGUAUGAGGAAGAAAAUAGAUUUUGGAAGUUAUGAGAACUGUAGAGAUUGAGUUGAGCAUAGUUUGUGAUUUUGAGGGCCUCUAAAAGUAUUAGGGCAGCAGCAGCGGCUGCACGGAGACAUGAUGGCCAGCCUGAAACAGUAAGGUCAAGUUGUUUGGACAAAAAGGCUACAGGACGCGAUCCUGGUCCUUACAUAAGAAUUCCGACUGCACAGCCCUGCACUUUGGCUGUGUGUAAUGAAAAGGGUUGGGAUGAGUCAGGGAGAACUAGAGUGGGGGCAAUUUCUAAAGCUGUCUUCAAGGAAUGGAAAGAGGAGUGGGGAAAGGAUUUAGGAUCUAUGGGGUCAGCUAGGUUUCCUUUUGUGAGCUUAUAUAAUGGUUUUGUUAGGAUGGCCAAACCAGGUAUCCAAAGGCGAAAGUAUCCAACCAUGGCCAGGAAGGAAAGGAGUUCUUGUUUUGUAGAAGGGGUUGGGGUUUGAGAGAUCAGUCAGACACGAUUGGCAGGGAGAGCACGUGUGUUUUUAUGAGAAUUAUGCCAAGAUAGGUAACAGAUGAGGAAGAAAUUUGAGCUUGAUUGAAGUAAUGGGGGCUGUCUGUGAAGCUUUGCGGCAGUACAGCCCGGGUAAUUUGCUGAGCUUGAUGGGAGUCAGGGUCAGUCCACGUGAAAGCGAAGAGAGGCUGGGAUUAAUGGUGCAAAGGAAUAGUAAAGAAAGCAUGUUUGAGAUCUAGAACAGAAUAAUGGGUUGUAGAGGCAGGUAUUGAGGAUAGGAGAGUAUAUGGGUUUGGCACCACGGGGUGGACAGACAAAACAAUUUGGUUGAUAAGGCGCAGAUCCUGAACUAACUUGUAAGGCUUGUCUGGUUUUAGGACAGGUGAAAUGGGGGAAUUGUAAGGAGAGUUUAUAGGCUUUAAAAGGCCAUGCUGUAGCAGGCGAGUGAUAACAGGCUUUAAUCUUUUUAAAGCAUGCUGCAGGAUGGAAUAUUGGCAUUGAGUGGGGUAAGGGUGAUUAGGUUUUAAUGAGAUGGUAAGGGGUGCAUGAUCGGUCGCCAAGGAGGGAGUAGAGGUAUCUUAUACUUGUGGGUUAAAGUGGGGGAUAAAAGAGGAGGAUGCAAAGGAGGCUUUGGAUUGGGAAGAAGGGCGGCAAUGAGAUAUAGCUGUAGUCCAGGAAUAGUCAGGGAAGCAGAUAAUUUAGUUAAAGUGUCUCAGCCUAAUAAGGGAACUGGGCAGGUGGGGAUAACUAAAAAGGAGUGCUUAAAAGAGUAUUGUCUAAGUUGGCACCAGAGUUGGGGAGUUUUAAGAGGUUUAGAAGCCUGGCCGUCAAUACCCACAACAGUUCUGGGGGCAAGGGAAACGGGCCCUUGAAAAGAAGGUAAUGUGGAGUGGGUAGCCUCCGUAUUGAUUAAGAAGGGGACGGGCUUACCGUCCACUGUGAGACUUACCCGAAGCUCGGCGUCCGUGAUGGUCUAGGGGGCUUCCGAGGCGAUUGGGCAGUGUCAGUCUUCAGCCUCUAAGCCGAGAAGAUCUGGCAAGGAGUCAGUCAGAGAGCCCUGGGCCAGAGUUCCAGGGGCUCUGGGAGUGGCUGCCAGGUGAGUUGAACAGUCUGAUUUUCAGUGGGGUCCCACACAGAUGGGACGCGGCUUAGGAGGAAUCCCGGGCUGCGGGCAUUCCUUGGCCCAGUGGCCAGAUUUCCAGCACGCGUAGCAAGCUUCUGUGGGAAAAGGUUCUGGAGGAACGCCUGGCCACUGCACUUCAGGCAUUUGGAAGUUCUUAUGUGCUGGAGAUGUGGCUGGGGUUUGUCUCACAGUGGAGGCAAGGAAUUGCAACUUUUUUCUAUUAUUGUACACAUUGAAGGUGAGGUUAAUUAAAUCCUGUUGUGGGGUUUGAGGGCCAGAAUUUAAUUUUUGGAGUUUUAUUUAAUGUUGGGAGCAGACUGGGUAAUAAAAUGCAUUUUGAGAAUAAGACGGCCUUUUGACAUUUUAGGGUCUAGGGCUGUAAAGUGUCUCGGAGUUGCUGCCAAACAAGUCAUGAACUGGGCUGGAUUUUUAUAUUUGAUGUAAAAGCCUAAACGCUAUCUGAUUUGGGAUAAAGAGAAAGGAGCAUUAACCUUGACUAUGCCUUUAGCUCCAGCCACCUUUUUAAGAGUAAAUUGCUGGGCAGGAGGGGGAGGGCUAGUCACGGAACGAAACUGUAAGCCGGACCAGGUGUGAGGAGGGGAGGUGAUAAAAAGAUUAUAGGGUGGAGGAGCAGAGGCUGAGGAAGAAUUGGGACCUAGCUUGGCCUGGCAAGGAGCAGCCUUGGGAGGAAGGGAGAGGUCAGAUGGGUCUGUAGAAAAGGAAGAUUAGAAAGACUCAGCGACGCUUGGGGUUGGUACUGAGGGGACAGGCGGAAGGGAAAGAAGGAAGAUUUGGGAUGAGUUGCACUGGGCACAGAGACUAGGAAAGGACUGAUGUGUAAAAGAAUGCCUGGACAUCAGGCACCUCAGACCGUUUGCCUAUUUUACGACAAGAAUUAUUUAGAUCUUGCAGGAUGGAAAAAUUCAAAGUGCCAUUUUCUGGCUAUUUGGAACUGCUGUCGAGUUUGUACUGGGGUCAAGCGGCAUUGCACAAGAAAAUAAGCCAUUUAGGUUUUAGGUCAGGUGUGAGUUGAAGAGGUUUUAAGUUUUUGAGAACACAGGCCAAGGGAGUAGAAGGAGGAAUGGAGGGUGGAACGUUGCCCGUAGUGAAGGAAGCAAGCCUAGAGAAAAGAGAGAGUAGAGAAACAGAGGGAAGGGGUUCGGGCAUUCUUACCUUCCAGAAAAGUGGGAAAAGGGGUUGGGGUGCAGAGAUAAGAGGUUGGGGCAGGGAAAUAAGGGAUGGGGCGCAGAAAUAAGAGGUUGGGGCAUGGUAUUAAGGGACUGGGGUGCAGAGAUAUAAGAGGUUGGGGCACGGAAAUAAGGGAUUGGGGCACAGAGAUGCGAGGUUGUGGCACGGAAAUAAGGGAUUGGGGCACAGAGAUGUUGGGGCAUGGAAAUAAGGGAUUGGGGGUUCUUGCCCCGUAGAAAAGCGGGACUUGCCGCUAAGGGUGAAGGAGAAGGGGUUGAGGGGUACUUGCCCCUGCCCCAGAAAAGCAGAGAAGGGGUAGAGACAAGGAGAGAAGGGGUUGAGGGGUACUUGCCCCUUCCCCAGAAAAGCGGGACUUGCCGCUAAGGGUGAAGGACCAAGGCAGGCGUCCCUGCGUGGUCUGACACCUUUGAAACAUGGGUGAAUAAUCAGAGGCGUCCCUGCAAUGAUUAAACACCAAGGGAAGACUGCCUUCCCAGUCCGUGACCGGCGCCGGAGUUUUGGGUCCACGGAUAAAACGUGUCUCCUUUGUCUCUACCAGAAAAUACCAGAAAAUGAAAGGAAUUGAAAUUAAGAGAAGGGAGAGAUUGAAGUGUGGCACCAAGAUUGAAAGGAGAAAGAGGUUGAGGGUUAGUGAGGGAGGUUGGAGAAGAGAGUAAAAAGAGGCCGCUUACAGGAUUUGAAAUUGGUGAGAUGUUUCUUGGGCUGGUCGGUCUGAGGACCUGAGGUCGUAGGUGGAUCUUUCUCACGGAGCAAAGAACAGGAGGACGGGGGAUUGAUCUCCCAAGGGAGGUCCCCCGAUCCGAGUCACAGCACCAAAUUUCAUGCGCGUCCCUGUGAAAAGACCACCAAACAGGCUUUGUGUGAGCAGUAAAGCUGUUUAUUUCACUUGGGAGCAGGUGGGCUGAGUCCGAAAAGAGAGUCAGCGAAGGGAGAUAAGGGUGGGGCCGUUUUAUAGGAUUUGGGUAGGUAAAGGAAAAUUGCAGUCAAAGCGGGUUUGUUCUCUGGCAGGCAGGAGUGGGGGUCGCAAGGUGCUCAGUGGGGGUGCUUUUUGAGCCAGGAUGAGCUAGGAAAAGGACUUUCACAAGGUAAUGUCAUCACGUAAGGCAAGGACUGGCCAUUUACACUUCUUUUGUGGUGGAAUGUCAUCAGUUAAGGUGGGGCAGGGCAUAUUCACUUCUUUUGUGAUUCUUCACUUACUUCAGGCCAUCUGGGCUUAUAUGUGCAAGUCACAGGGGAUGCGAUUGCUUGGCUUGGGCUCAGAGGCUUGACAGUAGCCACAGUCUGGAUAAGGAUAAGCAACUGGAUCAUAACAAUCAUGCAAUGAUACAUCAGGACCCUCGACCUCACAACAUUUUGUCUACCAUAUGCUUAAAAGAAGACACAUUGAGAAGACGGCCAUCUAUGAACCAAGAGGGAGGACAUCAGAUCAGCCACCAUUUCGAUCUUGAACUUCCCAGGCUCCAGAAAUAGCUAAAAUUCUAUAAGGGCGAGAAAGACCAUCAACAAUCAACAUAACAGAUAACUACAUUAUGUGAUAUUUUAGAAGUUGAUAGCCUCAUUAAAAAAAGAAAGAAACAGUAGAGCAGAGUAAGGAAGAUAAUAAGAAUCUAGUGGCCAGAAGAGGCAAAUUGUAGUAAUAAAUAAGAAGGUCCAGAUAGGACGCAUUGAGUCAGUGACAUUUGACCAAAAUUUUGAAAGAGAAGAAAUGUUUCACUAAUUGGAUAUCUGCGAGCGGAGCAUUCCAGGCAGAGGGGACUGCAAGAGCAAAGGCGGUUGCUCAGGAGCCUGCUUGCGGAGACAUCAGGAGCAACGUUAGCAAGAAAAAGGAGGAAAGGUAACUGGCACAAGAUCAUGGGGCCCGUGUAAGCCAUCAGUUGUUAAAGCAGUGAAUAUUAUUGCUGAAAUAACUGAAGAAAAGUUACUGAUUCCUAUCUAGGACAAAGAUGGAUAAUUAUGAAUGCCCUGCCUUACUGAUAAUCCUUCAACAUGAAAUCCAGAACCUGAGUUAUUACAAAUUUUAUAAAUUUUCACUUUGUUAUAAAAGAAAGCAUACAGUCUACAUUUUGCCUUAUUUGAUAAAUAAUAGAUUCAUAUCAAACACUUCAUAAAAUUUCUGUUAAAACCAAAUUACAAAACAUUCUGGGAAUAGAUUAGUGCCGAAGUAAAUAGACUUCACUUAUCCCAAUCUCUUUCUUUGUCUUCCUCAUUCUAUUUAACAAAACUACCAAAAGGAUGUACAAAGACUGAUGAUUUUUAAUAAAAAUUAGAAUAAAUAACAACAUGCUAAAAAUGUAAAAAUAUUUUCUGAAAGCAUAUAUGCAGAUGAGUCUAGAGAGUGGGUCUGAGGGCAUUAAUUUACAGGAAGAGAAAUCACUGUCCUGUAGGCAUAUUUCUGUAUUGCAUGGGACUAUGAGAGCUUAAUAACAAGACCCUCAGUUGGGUGGAGGGUGGGGUGGUGUCUACAGAAAGCACAAAUAACGCUGUUAUUGAAGGGUAAGAAGCAGUAGUACAACUCACCUAGAUAAAGCCCACUCUGGAAGUUUUUAAAAUGGGGAAUUAAAAUAAACAAUUUACAGAAAAAUUAGAAAUAAACUGACAGUCAGUCACUCUGGCAUUCAAGGAAGUAUAAAUUGGCCAGAAGUGGUGGCUCAUGCCUGUAAUCCCAGCACUUUGGGAAGCCAAGGUGGGCGGAUUACCUGAGGUCAGGAGUUUGAGACCAGCCUGGCCAACAUGGUGAAACCCCAUCUCUACUAAAACUACAAAAUUUAGCCCAGCAUCGUGGCUGACGCCUGUUACCCCAGCUACUCGGGAGGCUGAGGCAAGAGAAUCCCUUGAACCCAGGAGGCAGAGGUUGCAGUGAGCCAAGAUUGCGCCUUUGCACUCCAGCCUAGGUGACAGAGUGAGACUUCGUCUCAGAAAAAGAGAGAGAGAGAGAUAAAAAAAAGUAUAAAUUUUGAAAAAAGAAGGGUAUUUUUAUCAGUUAUAUAUUUUUAGUUAAUUUUAUAUUGGAUAUAAUAUCCACUAUGGUUGAAGUGCCUGUUAAGAAGGUCUCUCAUAUAUGUAAAUAUCAAAACAAACCAUGUACUGCUAAGGAAUAAUUAGCCUACAUGGAUAAACAUUAUCAAUAUACAUAGACCUUAAUCUCAGAUAUGUGAUUUCUAGGAAUCUCAAUUAAAGAAUUUAAUCCUGCUUUGUGUUUAAAAUUUUGUCUACAAGAGCCACUUUAAUAGGAAAAAGAAGAAAACAAUCUAAAUGUUUAACUGAUAUUUGUUAAUGGUUAAAAUAAAUUACUGCUUAUUUAUCAGUAAAAUGUUUUAUUGCCAUUAAAAAUAGCUUAUAUUAAAUGACUUGAAAAUAUUUUCUUUCCCUUAUAUGUCAUUAAGCUAAAUAUGUGCUAUGAACCUGUAUGGUGUUUUGUAAAAAAGAAAAAAAAGCCUACUGAAACAAAGAUACACAACAAGAUUUUGAAUAUUGGUAAUAUUUUGUGUGACUUUUACUUAUUUGUUUUCUUGCUUUUCUGUUUCCUCCCCUCUAAGUUUUCAAAAACAAACAUGUAUUUCUUCUGUCGCAAAAAAAAAUAAAAGAAAAAUUUACAACAAUGGUUUAUCAAUUUACUAACAAAAUAAAUUUCUCUCUUAAUGUUCUAGUAUUAAAUAUUUUCAUUAUUUUUUAAAACACAUUCAAAAGUACAGUUGACCCUUGAACAACAUAGGUUUGAACUACACCAAUUUUCUUCCAUGCCUGCCACCCUUGAGACAGCAAUACCAACCCCUCCUCUUCUUCCUCCUUCUCCUUGGCCAACUCAACAUGAAGAUAACAAGGAUGAAAACCUUUAUGAUAAUGUACUUCUGCUUAAUGGAUAAUAAAGAUAUUUUCUCUUGCUUAUGAUUUUCUUAAUAAUAUUUCCUUUUCUCUAGAUACCUUGUUGUAAAAACACA
rnacentral:lncRNA from 1 species